rnacentral:lncRNA from 10 species
GUCAAGGGAAGCCAUGAGGGACUGUGCUGUGAGGCACAGUAUCUGGCCCAGAUACUAUGCUUUUCCCAUGGUCUUCACAACCCACAGACCAGAGAUUCCCUCUGGUGCCUACACCACCUCGGCCCUGGGUUUCAAGCACAAAACUGGACAUCCAUUUGGGCAGACACUGAGCUAACUGAAGGAGUUUUUUUUGUUUUGUUUUGUUUUGUUUGUACCCUAGUGGCACCUAGAAAGCCAGCGAGACAGAACCGUUCACUCUUCCGGAAAGGGGGCUGAAACCAGGGAGCCGAGUGGUAUUGCUCAGCGGAUCUCACUCCCAUGAAGCCCAACAAGCUAAGAUCCACUGGCUUGAAACUCUCACUGCCAGCACAGCAGUCUGAAGUCAACCUGAUCCAAGGCUGAAUUCUGCAGUUUUUGGCUUCAUUCCAACUUGAAUUUAUAUAGGUAUUACUUUAAAGGUUCUUCCCAAAUUAGCCAUAGUCAAUUUCACACAGAUAGAAUAAAGAUAAUGAUCAUCUUCUGCCUGUAAAGAUUUGGAAAUCCAAGUAUAAAAUUGCUGCAAAGUACAAAAUAUUACUUUAAUAGGAUACAAAACACUGAAUUCUGAGGCUCUUGUUGAGUACUUCCUUUUAAGAUAUUUAAUGUUAAUGUGUCUCCAGCUAAUUUUUCUGGCUAUACACCAUACAUCUGCUCUCUGUCUUUCUGAUAAAUGACAUCCUCCCACUUUUUCUGUAUCCUAUGUGUUAUUGAAAAUGUAAAUCUUCAAGAAAAGAGGCCCAGCAAUGACUUUGCCAAAAGACUUUCCAAAUUUCUACUUACAAACUUGGAAAUUAUUAUUUAAACUUUGCAAACUCAAAGUUAUAUUUUCUCUACAUUCAUUUUUAAUAUAAUUUGACCGUUAAGUCAAUCUUGGUUUUACUUUUUCUUUUUUUUUUUUUUUUUUUUUGCUAAGCUGCAUCUUUGCAUACGCUUUUAAAUUUUCUCUUUGAAUGAGAAAGUCCUGUGAGUAAAUCUGGUAAAAGUACUCUUCUGAGGGCAGCUAUGGUAGUUUUCCCUUAUCUGUGGGAUAUAUAUUCCAAGAUUCCCAGUGAAUGCCUGAAACCAGGAUAGUACUGAACUGUAUAUAUACUGCUUUUUGCUAUACAUAAAUAUCUAUGAUAAAGUUUAACUUAUAAAUUAGGCACAGUUAGAAAUUAACAAUAACCAACAGAAAAAUUAUAAGAAUAUGCUGCAUUAAAGUUGUGUGAAUGUGUUCUCCAUUUUCCUUCUCUCUCAAAAGACUGCAAUAUUUUUGAACCAAGGUUGACUGCAGGUAACUGAAACAAGGGAAAAUGAAACCAUGGAUAAGGGAACACUACUGUACUAAUGAUGCAUCUCACUACCCUUUCGUUAACUUUGUCAAAAAUAUAGAAACUUGAAACAUGAAAAUUAGUAUGACUCCGUGAAACAGAUGAAAUUAAGCUGACCUUAAGGAAAUUAAUAUUGAGAGAUCACUUUUUUAAACAUGUAACUAAACAUACAAGUCUAACCUGAAGUUUAUCUUUGACCUUCUUUGGGUUUCUGAUGUAUUCUUUCAUUAGAUGUAUCAUUAAUCUUCUUAAAAUACCUACUAAGCCUGCCUAAUAUAUGCUUUUACUGUAACACUUUCAAUAAUGGCUGCUAUUGAUUCAGUCCAUGUGUCGUUAGACAAGAUCCUCUCAUAAUUCUUACAUUUAUCUCACACAAUAUUUUCCAUAUUUAUGGAGGCAAAAUAAGGUGUAGAAUUAUGAGCAAGAUUUCCUUACUAGAGGUCUUCUCAGGUAUUUUAAUAUCUUAAUGUGCAUUUUGCUUCUCAAGAAAUGAGUGUAUAAUGCAAUAUGAUGCAGUGCAAUGAUCCUAAAAUGUAUACAUUUCACAGAAGCAGCCACAGUAGAGUAUUUGAUGAGAUAUAUUUAACCUCUGGAUACAAUUAGAGUAAUUCCUAAUUCCUGAGGUCCUUCACAUUAGACAGUAAAGUUGACAAUGUGGUUUCUGGUUUUUCUUGCCUGGCUGCUUGACUUUUUAAAAAGAAAGCAGUAGCAUCAUUCUGAUUAAAGAGAAUAGAAUCACAAACUACAUACUUAUUAUAUAGUUUUAUUUUGAUUUAACUGGAUGGAAAAAAAGUAUUUUUCUAGAAUAACCAAAUUUUUUUAAUUAAAAGAAAACUAUUUGAAGAUUUAGAUAUAAUAAAAAUAACAAACAGAAUUAUUUUACAGAUUCCUGUAUGUGGUUUAUUUCUAACCUACCAUUUCAAUGAGAGAGCCUACUCCUUAGAGAAUUAAUUGUUUACGGGGUGUGAACAUGAUACUAAUUUAACUCAAAACUAAAGGUAUAAAUUAUGUAUUCUCUUUCUUCUGAAAUCUCAGAUGAUAUUCAUGUUGACAUAAACAAACAGCUUCUGAGACAUUCCUAAGAACGGUCUAGAGAAGUAAUACAUUUACAUUAAUUAUUAAUGCGUAUUAGCCAUAUAUUUUAAGAUAGAGUAGAAAACAUUAUUUUCUUUGCAAUUUAAUGUUACAAUUAGGAUAAAACUUAGAAAACCAAGAGAGAAUAAUCAGACAAAUGUUACGCCUUGAUAGAGUAGAAAAGCAAUGGAGAAAAAAAGAAGAAAAGGUAGUAUUGUGUUAGGAAAUGGAGGGAAACGUUGAGUGACUAUAACAACAAAAUCUACAUUUAAGAAGGGCAAGAAGUGGGAUUUAAAGUAGCAUUAUAUGGAGCUUGAUAUAUUCUGAAGACAUGCAGAAAGAUAAUUUUGAGCAUACAGUUCAAAAGCCAAAUCUCUGCAGAUAGAGAAAUUUCAACAGGAUAAAGGACCUUUACAUUAUUCCUUGGUAUUAGCAGGGGAUUGGUUCCAGGACCUUCUGCAGAUGACAAAAUCCUUGUAUAUCAAAUUCAAGGAUGCUCAAGUCCCAAAUAAAAUGCCAUAAUAUUUGCAUAGAACUUAAGCACAUCUUCCCAAAUACUUUAAAUCAUCACUAGGUUACUUAAGAUAUCAAACACAAUGUAAAUUCUACAUAAAUAGUUGUUACACUGUAUUGUUUAGGAAAUAAUGACAAGAAAAAAAUGUUUAUACAUUUUCAGUACAAAAACAUUUUCUUUUCCAGAAUAUUUUCAAUCUGUGGUUGGUUGAAUCCACAGAUGCAAAACCCACAGACGUGAGGGCUGAUUCUACGUGCAAACUGGCCACAAAAGUCCUGGCUGUCUUCAAAGCUGCAUCCUAACGAGGGCAGAGUACCUGGUACAAUGAAUCUGAUUGUAAUUUACAAGAAAAUCACCUCUACUGCCUACAAUAUGUUACCUCAUUUGUUUCCCAGUUCCUAAUUUGUACCCUUAGAUUCUUAGACCAUAAAGUAUUUCCUGAAGGAAUAGAGGGCUCCAAGUGGGAUGAUUUGAGUAGUUCAUUUUGGUGGCUUUUGUUAUGGAAAUAUGUGAGGAUGGUUGAACUUUAGUACUGAUUUUUCAUUCACAUGACAAGAAUGCCUACAUAAAUCAUGUUGCUCUCCCAUUUAAGUAAUUACUAGGUUUGAAGCCAGUUAAAACAAAUGAUAGAAGAUAUUUUAGGUUAAACAACAUGGUUUUGCUUUCAUUGACAUCAACCAUAAUAGGCCUAAAAAUAUAAGUGCAGAAAAGCAUGUUAGUAUCUUUUAUUUCUUUCAAGUAUAUUCAUUUAGUUGACUUUUUCAAAUAUAUUUUAGCUUAUUUUGCCUUCUGAUAAGAAUAGGACAAUUGAAGAAAAGGUUUUCUCACUUCCUUAACAUUAUGAAAGAAUUUUAUUUUGGAAUUGCCUGAGAGGUAAAUGGAAAAUAUGCUCAGUUGGCCCAAAUUCUUUAUUAAACAACAUUAUAAGUGAAAAUCUGUUUUCCCUGCUAUUAUCUGAGUGCUAUGCUUAAAGAAACAAAUAAACAUCCUGACAGUUGACAGACAGGAAAUAUGUUUUGUUUCCUUUUUUAUUCCGGCUUCAUUAUUUUCCAUGGAGAUGGAUUCUUGAAGCGACAGGCUGUGUUCAUUUCAGUUCAACUGUUCAUUGACUUAUGCAACAUAUCAAAUUCCUUACCAAAGUGAAAAAAAAAAAAAGCAGAAUGAAAUUUAGCUAUGAUUCAACCAGAGAAAUUUACAUGUUGGGCAAGGAUUCUUGUUAUUUAAAGAUAAAGGCAUUUUUGAAAGUCCACUGAAAAAUGGCUAAAAUUUUUCUAAUUCUGGUUUGGUGAUAUAUCCUAUUAAUCUGCCACCACUUAUUAAUGGCACUCAUAAUUUAAAGCCCUCUAACACUGGCACCUCACAUCUCAUUAAGGUAUCUCCUCCCAUUCUUCCUGCAAACAUGACAUUUAGGAGACCAUUAUAUGACUU